rnacentral:rRNA from 1 species
AGUGAACGAGGGAGGGAGGAGGUACACAGGCAAGUCGAACGGCAGCACGGUCAGCGCUCUCGCUUAGGGUUGGCGAGGGGCGGGUGAGUGAGGGGUACAUGGGCAGCUGCUGUGUCUAGGGGGACGACGGCGGGAAACAUACCGUAAUAGAGCAUACGGUGAACGGGGGGGAGCAGCGGAUCUCGCGACAUUGGGCGGUCCGAUGAGACGAUGUCGGAUUGGCUAGUUGGAGGGGUAACGACGUACCAAGGCGACGAUCCGUAGCUGGUCUGAGAGGAUGAACAGCCACACUGGAACUGAGACACGGUCCAGACUCCUACGGGAGGCAGCAGUGGGGAAUAUUGGACAAUGGGCGCAAGCCUGAUCCAGCCAUGCCGCGUGUGUGAAGAAGGCCUUCGGGUUGUAAAGCUCUGUUGUUGGGAAAGAAAAGCAGUGUGUUAAUACCCCGCUGUGCUGACGGUACCCAAAGAAUAAGCACCGGCUACCUACGUG